UGUUCUGGACUUAGUACUGUGACGAAAGC
rnacentral:piRNA from 1 species